CCGGUUAAAGUUGCAAUACCGAUUUGCCUCGAUCAGCUGUGAGGCUGCGUCUGGUGGUUGAUACGGCCACUGGAACUUCACAAUGCAUGUAUACGAGAUCGGAUGGCAGAAAACAAAGAUGGAUGAGUGAGGAUGAGACUUCCCAGCUCAGUCCUAGUGUCGGUCUCUUUUUUUACGGCCGAGACGACGGCUGCUCUUUAUCUGAGCACCACAUAUCGCUCCGAUGGUGAUAAGAUUUGGCAGUGUUUGACGCUCCUCUUCACGAUUGUGCCAUCCGUGCUGGUCCAGCUCACACUGAUCUUUAUUCACAGAGACCUGAGUAGAGACAGACCUCUAGUGCUGCUGCUUCAUAUAUUACAACUAGGGCCAAUAAUCCGGUGCCUAGAUGCCUUCUGUAUCUAUGGCAGCGCUGGAAAGGUGGAGGAGCCAUAUGUCACCAUCACUCGAAAGAAGCAGAUGCCCCAGGAGGGGCAGACAGAGGAGGUGGAACAGGAAGUGGGGCAGGUAGAGGGGAAGCUAGUCACUCACCGCGCAGCUUUCGCCAGGACCUCCGUCAUACAGGCCUUUCUGGGUUCUGCACCCCAACUCACACUGCAGCUCUAUAUCUGCGUGCUGCAGAAAGGGGUGUCUAUUGGUAGAGGGACAUUGAUGGUCAUUUCCCUUCUCUCUAUUGUAUACGGAGCCUUGCGUUGCAACAUUCUGGCUAUAAAGAUACGCUACGACGACUAUGAAGUCUCCGUCCGGCCGUUGGCGUACGUGUGUGUGUUCCUGUGGCGAGGGUUUGAGAUCGCCACACGUGUGGCCGUGCUGGUCCUCUUCAGCUCCGUGUUGAAAGUGUGGGUGCUUCCGGUAGUUGCUGCCAACUUCAUCCUGUUCUUUCUGUUCCCGUGGGUUCUCUUCUGGAGCAGUCGUUCUCCGUUUCCGGAGAACAUCGAGAAGACGUUGACACGCGUGGGCACCACUAUCGUACUCUGCAUGCUUACCUUCCUGUAUGCGGGCAUCAAUGUGUUCUGCUGGUCCGCCGUUCAGCUCAAACUGGAUGAUCCUGAUCUGAUUGAUAAAGGCCAGGUGUGGAGGCGGGUUGCAGCGUACUACUCCCUCCGUUUCGUGGAGAACACGGGGCUGAUAGUGAUGUGGUAUAUCCACCGGACUGAGUUCUACCAAUGGGUGGAUGCCCCUGUGUUGGAACUUCUGCUGCUGUUGGGUUAUGCCACGGCUCUGUUCUUUAUGUUGCUGUUUUACCAGUUUUGCCACCCAUGCCGGCAGCUGUUUUCAUCCAAUCCAGCCCAAGGUUUCUGGAAGUGCUGUGGAUCCCUUUGCCUGCUCUGUGGACCACUUUCCCAUUCCAGCUCCAUGAGGACCAAGCCCUUGUCAGAGCCACCAGGGAAAGACGUUGGAGACGACCCACCCUGUUUGACAGUCUGAGUAAACAAUUUAAGCACAUUGUCGUUAAGUGCCGCAAAAGGAUAAAAGGCCAAUGAAAAUGCAAACAAGCCAGCAUGGUCCAUUGAAGUGCAUGUGAAAAUCCUUAAUAAGAUGAGAAUGAAAUUGCUGCUUUCGUCAUGUGAUGUGGGGGCAAACUGUCUCUCCUUCUUUCAGUGUCUGUUUAAUUAUCGUUACAAUUUCUGUGCUCUCUGUGCCUGCAUUAUUUGUCAACAUUGUCUCAUUGAAUCACAUUACUGUACAUACAUUUUUGCAAAAUUAUUUUUAUGUGGCUCGUUCUAUGUAUCAACGUGCAACAACAGCGACUUUUAUUCACUUUCACACAAAUCACGAGGAAAAUGGCAGAUUAUCAGUUCAUAAACACUAACUCUUCACUCUGUUCCUUAAACAAUGCUUUCUUAUGACAUCUAAACACUAUAAUGCAUGACUUUAAAAGCGAUAUAUUACAACAUUUACAUUCCAUUCCAUACAUUACAAAACUACAUUUACAAGCUUAUUCAAAUGCAGUCAAAUUGCUCGAUAGCUCAAUUUAUAGGGUGAUAUACUUGCAAUGCAAAAGACCAGGGUACGAGUCCAGCAAAGCACACGAGUCAAGGAAGCUGUCAUAGAUGUGCCACAAAAUGACGUGGUUGCUUCAGCAAUUGCGUUUUACAUUUCGCAUUUGCUUUUUAUUACACUAACCGGGAGGUUUAGGUUAACCGUUUAGCACUGUUCGGUCAUUUUUGACCGAAAUCAGUUUCGUUUCUGUAAUAAAAAUGGUAUCCUUCUUCUGAUUGGCUCGAGGCUUGGUUACUUUUCCUACAUUUGGACUGGAUUCGAUUAGUUUUGGCCACGUGACAAAAAAGUGACACUUGUGUUGUUUGCGGUCAAAUUUGACCGAUCAUAGGAAAUGAAUUGGGCGAGAGUAUAACACAGAGAAAUUUUUUGGGGGGGAAUUUGUAAAAUACAAUCAAUAAUUCAGCCACAAUACAGAACACACACAGACAGAAAUUAAGGGGUGAGACUAUAACACAGAGCCAUUUUGUUUGGAAUUUGUCAAAUAAAAUCAGAUAUUCAGCCACAAUGCAGAACACACACACACACACACACACACACAAAUUAAUGGGUGAGACCAUAACGCAACCACAAUGCAGAACACACACACACACACACACACACACACAAAAUCAUCUUGUUACAACCAGGAAUGAAUUAGUGGAUCUCUGCUGCCAUCUAAUGGUUAUUUUUGUCAUUACAUGAUUUUCAAGUCAUAUAAUUGUUCUUUUUUUUUUUUUUUUUUUUUUUGCACCAGAUGGCAGCAAUCUGCCCUAAUACAUUACACGUCCUAAUAUUUUCUUCAUGUUUCAACUUUUUUAUAUAUAUAUAUAUAUACAUUUAUUGUUUUCGGUCAAAUCUGACAGCUCUAAGGGAUCUAAGCAGUUUGGAAAAGUGGAGAAAAUGACCAUAAUUGCCAAAUUUCAAGGAAAUGAUUUGUCAGGGGCAAAGUAAUUUUAUUGCUAAGUACUUUAGUAGGUAGUCCAUCAACCAUUUUAGGCUUUCCAAAAAAACCUGCAAAAAAAAAAAAAGAAGAAGAUGAGGAAGUGUUUGUGAGAACAUUUAACACAUUUUUAGUGCCACACAAGGGAUUUUCGACCUUGAAACUGCUGCGAUACAUGUAAUGAACCACGUAAUGUCAUUUUGCAUAAAUGUUGCCACAUUCACAGUAAUCUUCCUUAGAUUGGGCUGUUAUUUUAGGAACUGAUUUGUUUAAAAGAUUGUAUUUGCUUAAAGGUGCUCUCAGUAACCUUUGUCUUUGUGUCAUCUUGGACUUACACCAGAGGCGGACUGGCCAUUGGGAGAACCGGGACUUUUCCCGGUGGGCCGGCCACGAAAUGGGGUCACGAUAUGUCAAAGUGGGUCACGAUAUGAUGAAGGGGGCCGCGGAACGAUGCUGCAAUAUGCCGAAGGGGACAGUGAAACACAUUGCCACACCCCCCAAUGGUCGACAACUUCACAUCGCUCGAUACAUUUCUCCAGGGCUGAUUUUUGUUCCCAGUCCACCCCUGACUUACACUGACACCUAGUGGCUUGGAUGCAGCAUAAUUUAAUAUCAAUAGUUUUCAGUUUCAGAUGCUAUUGUAGAAAUGUAGUUUCGACAGUCAGCCAAGAUUACUUUAAUCAGUGAGUGAAAGUGUCAAAUAACAGGACGGUUACUGAGAUUAAGCGAGUAGUAUUCAGCUGGUCAUGUGAUUCCAACAUGGCCGCCCCCAUAUGUGGACCCUCUCCAUGUAGAAUAAAACAGCUUUUAUAAGGUUACUGAUAUGACUGGAGUCUUCGUUUUAAUGCGAGUGCUCAUGAUUUCCUACAUAUAUUCAAAAUUACAGUUCAUGUCGUUAGAAGUUCAACUUCUUUAAUGAGGAAAAAAGUACUGAGUGCACCUUUAAGUUAUAAGCCUUUUGUUUGUCUUCACUUUUUAAGGGUGUUGCUUUCUGGAAUUGUUUUUGACAGCUUCUUAGGUUCAUUGUUAAUGCUUCCUUUAAGUUCAUCUUGUUAUUGUUGCCACACUCAUACACACAGAAUACCAAAAUAGUAUGAUUAACACAAACUUACUGCCAAAAUGUAAGUAAUUGCCUCAAAUGCUUUUAAAAUGUGAUAUAUUGUGAAGAUUACAGUUUGGAGGUUUGCCAGAGCAUUCAUAAUCCUGCAAUGAAUGUUUUAAUUGUAUAAAGGAAUAGUUCAGCACCAAAUAUUUGUCAUUAAUUACUGGUUAUUUUUUCCUGUGGAGUGCAAAAUGAGAAUUCCUUACAGAGCUCUUUUCCAUAGUGGUUUUGAACGACAUGAGGGUUAAGAAACAUUUUGGGGCAAACUUUUCCUUUAUGUAAUUUUCUUUUCCUUCUUUGUUUACACUCACAUUUAGCAUUCUUUUGCACACUAUUCUUUACCAUUUUUUCUGCAAGGAGUACAAAAAAAUAUUUGUUUUCACAAAGGGAAGUAUAUGAUUGUAUCCUAACUUUACUGCCGCCCUGUGGGGAGCCGAAUGGCUUGAGUUUCUUAAUUUUGCAAGACUUUGUGAUGAGGGUUUGUUCUGGAAACCCCCUCAAAACACCACCAUAAGCACUGUAUAGAGCACAUCACUGCUUCUGAUAUGUGCAACUGUCAGCAAAAUCCAUACUAAAUAAAAGGAGAAUGAUAUUUUAUCCAUGAUAUUCCUGACAGUUUCAUUGUAUUCUUUUAUUUCGUGUUGACGUGAGACUCAAGUUUCUCCUCGUUGCAACAGGAACUAUAUUUCCUACCUCUGUUAGAACUCACUUUUAUAAAUGUAUAGUUAAAUGUACAGUCAUAGAUAAAAAAAGGAAACAUAUAACCAUAACAAUUCU